GUAUGUGAAUAUUUAUUACAAUUGUAUCUUCAUACAUCUGUAUCUAUCAGUCCAAAUAUUUAGGUAUGUAUGUAGGUAUUGAAGGUGGGAAAUGAUCUGAAUCUUGAAGGAAGUCAGAGAAUGCUGGAGGUGGAAGUGGAGGUGGAGGUGAGGAGGGCCAGGAUCCCAGGCAUAUGGGACCAUCAUUGAACAUGGUCAGAGUGGCCAGAUGAAGGAACAACCAGAAGCCCAAGGUGGAGGUGGAGGUGGAGGUGAGGAGGGCCAGGAUCCCAGGUAUAUGGGACCACCAUUGAACAUGGCCAGAGUGGCCAGAUGAAGGAACAACCAGAAGGCCAAGGUGGAGGUGGAGGUGGAGGUGAGGAGGGCCAGGAUCCCAGGCAUAUGGGACCACCAUUGAACAUGGCCAGAGUGGCCAGAUGAAGGAACAACCAGAAGGCCAAGGUGGAGGUGGAGGUGGAGGUGAGGAGGGCCAGGAUCCCAGGCAUAUGGGACCACCAUUGAACAUGGCCAGAGUGGCCAGAUGAAGGAACAACCAGAAGGCCAAGGUGGAGGUGGAGGUGAGGAGGGGCAGGAGCCCAGGCAUAUGGGACCAUCAGUGACCGGGCCAGAUGGAGGUACAACCAGAAGGCCAGCAUCACUGGAUGGAAGGGUAGGUGGAGUGCGGUUGAGGCACAUUUGUAUUUGCAUAUAAUAGAGAUAUGUCAUAUUUCUGAAGCCCCUGUGUUCUCAGGGUGAUUGGCUCAUAACUUUGUGACGGCUUUUGAAAAUGGUUGUUUUGUGAUUUAUCCUGUUCCCUUUUUGUUUUGUUCAGUGACGGUUCUGAUCUCUUCGUAGGAUUAAAGGUUUAUCCGUUUCUUUGGCCUUUUCAGAGAAUUCACUUUUCUGUUUCUCAUUUAUAAAGUAAUUUUGCUUUCCAAUUGACCUCUUUCUCUUCUAAGUUUGGAGUUUUCCUCCUAUUAAGGUGGGGGUCUAUGGAUUAUUCUACCCACUUACAAUUUCUCCCAUUUUGUGGUAAGAACAUUCUUGAUUGAAGCCCUCAGUCAGAAGUAAGCGUGAACAGGAGGACCUGGGAGUCAGUUAAAGUAAGGGAGUGAGAGAUAUGUGCAUGCCUUACAAUGGAAUUUCUGUAUAAGGAAGAUGAUGCCUCAGAAGCAAAUGCAAGUUCUCCAGGUCUGAAGAAAAGAGGAG
rnacentral:lncRNA from 1 species